rnacentral:rRNA from 1 species
UACGUAGGGUGCAAGCGUUAAUCGGAAUUACUGGGCGUAAGCGUGCGCAGCGGCGCCGCAAGUCAGGCGUGAAAUCCCCGAGCUCAACUUGGGAAUUGCGCUUGAAACUACGGUGCUGGAGUAUGGCAGAGGGAGGUGGAAUUCCACGUGUAGCGGUGAAAUGCGUAGAGAUGUGGAGGAACACCGAUGGCGAAAGGCAGCCUCCUGGGCCAAUACGUGCGCUCAUGCACGAAAGCGUGGGGAGCAAACAGGAUUAGAUACCCGUACGGUGAUCCAGAC